rnacentral:tRNA from 10 species
GGCCGAGUAGCUCAGUCGGUAGAGCAGAGGAUUGAAAAUCCUUGUGUCGGCAGUUCGAUUCUGUCCUCGGCCACCA